AUAACAAGCUAUAUCAUCUAGUUUUAUACUAUGUUACUGUAUAGUUAUUCGAUUGGUUUCCAAUUUUGUUCUCUUCAUCCCAAUGCAUCCAACUUAUUUUUGUUUUCAUGCCCAACAUGAAACUUGGUGUUUGGCUUGUUAACUUCAAACUUUUGCCCUUCGUGGCUAGAACAAGUAAAUGCAUGACUUCAUUGAUCCUAUUUGCUGGCGAUCUCGUCAUUGGUUCUUCUUUAUGUUGAGCUUGAUUUUUUUAAGUUUGUUGCCCUCCAUGGAUAAUAUCAUUCCCUCCUUCUUCAAGAAGAUUCGUUCGCAAAACUUGUCCUGCAUUAAAGAUAGAAGGUAAAUUAAUAUUGAAUGUAGUAAAUACCUUAUACUCACCUCAAAAAUCCAUCUUGUAGGCAUUAUCAUUAAUCAUUUUCAUCACUUGGAAUGGUCCAUCUCCCUAGGAUGUAAUUUAGACCUCCUUUGAGUUCGAAUACGUUUCUUUCGUAUGUGCACCCAAAUCUGAUCACCAGGAUCAAAU
rnacentral:lncRNA from 1 species